rfam:Oreochromis niloticus linkage group LG3, whole genome shotgun sequence.
AGCCAGUUAGCUCAGCUGGUUAGAGCGUGGUGCUAAUAAUGCCAAGGUCGUGGGUUCAAGCCCCAUACUAGCCA